rnacentral:rRNA from 1 species
CCUACGGGCGGCAGCAGUGAGGAAUAUUGGUCAAUGGACGAGAGUCUGAACCAGCCAAGUAGCGUGAAGGAUGACUGCCCUAUGUGUUGUAAACUUCUUUUAUAUGGGAAUAAAAUGUUCCACGUGUGGGAUUUUGUAUGUACCAUAUGAAUAAGGAUCGGCUAACUCCGUGCCAGCAGCCGCGGUAAUACGGAGGAUCCGAGCGUUAUCCGGAUUUAUUGGGUUUAAAGGGAGCGUAGGUGGAUUGUUAAGUCAGUUGUGAAAGUUUGCGGCUCAACCGUAAAAUUGCAGUUGAAACUGGCAGUCUUGAGUACAGUAGAGGUGAGCGGAAUUCGUGGUGUAGCGGUGAAAUGCUUAGAUAUCACGAAGAACUCCGAUUGCGAAGGCAGUUCACUGGACUGCAACUGACACUGAGGCUCGAAAGUGUGGGUAUCAAACAGGAUUAGAUACCCUUGUAGUC